GCUCACGUAGCCCAACCGGCAGAGGCACAAGGUCGAGCGCCAUGCCAAUGCGGGUUCGACUCCCGCCGUGAGUA
rnacentral:tRNA from 1 species